rnacentral:rRNA from 1 species
AUUGAACGCUGGCGGCAGGCCUAACACAUGCAAGUCGAACGAGUGGCGGACGGGUGAGUAAUGUCUGGGAAACUGCCUGAUGGAGGGGGAUAACUAGGGGAACCGGUGGCUAAAACGGCUAACCAUGGGAUGGGCCCAGAUGGGAUUAGGUAGUAGGUGGGGUAAAGGCUCACCUAGGCGACGAUCCUUAGCUGGCCUGAGAGGAUGACCAGCCACACUGGAACUGAGACACGGUCCAGACUCCUACGGGAGGCAGCAGUGGGGAAUAUUGCGCAAUGGGCGAAAGCCUGAUGCAGCCAUGCCGCGUGUAUGAAGAAGGCCUUCGGGUUGUAAAGUACUUUCAGCGGGGAGGCGUUACCCGCAGAAGAAGCACCGGCUAACUCCGUGCCAGCAGCCGCGGUAAUUC